ensembl:snRNA U6 U6 spliceosomal RNA
GUGCUCGUUUCAGCAGCAUGUAUACUAAAAUUGGAGUGAUACAGAGAAGAUUAGCAUGGCCUCCGAGCAAGGAGGACAUGCAAAUUCAUAAAGUGUCCCAUAUUUNN